ensembl:lncRNA
GGCGGCCCCAGGUUUGAUCCCUGGUCAGGGAGCUAGAUCCCACAUGCAGCACUAAGAGUUCUCAUGAUGCAACUGAAGGUCCCACAUACCACAGUGAAGAUGGAGGAUCCUGAGUGCUACGACCAGGAGCCACUGCAGCCAAAUACAUAGAAUUAAAAAUAAGGGGGGCCCUAAUCCCAAGGGAUUAGCUUUCUUUUCUAAGAAGAGGAAGAAACACCAGAGAGCUGUCUCCUCUCUCCAUGUGGGCAAAGGAUGAAGGCAACAUCUCUAAGCCAGAUAAAGGGGCUUCACCAGCAACCAACUUGGAGGCACCUUGACCUUGGACUUCUAGUUUCCAGAACUGUAAGAAACCGAAUCUGUUGUUUAAGCCCUUGAGUCUGUGCUAUUCUAUUUUGGCAGCCUGAGCAGACUGACACACCCAUGUGCCUCAUUUACUUUGUGCGUCGCUUCUGUGGGCAUUUGAGCUUGAGAUUCCUGCUUUAUGUCCUUGAGAGUUAAAAGUGAAUAUCCACGUCUUAUGCUUUGUCUACUGAUGGGGAAAAAGUUAAAUGGAGACAUCAUUUGUGACAGGAUGCAAUGUAAGAGAUAUGCAAACGGAUAUCAAAGGACAGAACUGUCAGUGGGGGACAUGGAAGGGAGAAGAGAAGUUUUCACCAUGCGAAGAGCAUGUUGAAGGGUUUUAAGAGAUUCAGAAGAUUUCAAUGAACAGUGAUGGAACAGAAGGCAGAAGCUAAGGUAGGCAGAAGUGAAAGUGGAAGGUGUGUUACAAAGUUUGGCUAGAGUUCAGGGUACAUUGCAUGUGAGAAUUAUAUGAUAGGAGAUAAGACCAGAAAAGGGGGGAAGAGUUGGAUCAUGAUUCUGGAAUACCCCCCCAUAGGAUUUGGUUUAAUUCUGGAGUAAAUGAGGAGCACCAGGGUAUGGAGGGUAUGUUUUCAUUCAUUAAUUAAUUAUUAGGAACAUCUAAUGUGCCAAGUGCUGCUAAUACAGUCGAGGACAGGAUGGAACUAAGUCUCUGCCCUCCAUGGAACUAACAGAAAUAAACACUCAGAUACAGAACACAGUGUCAGUAGAACACAGUGUCAGAGAGUGAUGAGCGCUAUGAUGAAAGGUGAAGCAGUGUAAGGGGCAGAGUGGAUACAGCAGGUGCUGGUACAGAUGCAGGUCAGGAAAGGCCUGGUAUUUGGGUAGAAUCCUGGACAAAGUCAGAGAAUGAAUUCUGGAUCAUCUGUUCUAGACAGAGGGAACACACAUGCAAAGGUCCUGAGGCAGGAACACAGUUACAUUCAAAGGAAAACGCAGGCCAAUCUGGCAGGAAAUUACGAUGAGCUCCUUAGGAAAGAAUGCUGGGCUUUCUCCAUUGCCCCUGCUGUGGGCAAACGUUCAAAAAAAGAAGGCAUCGUUGGUCAACAUCUGUGGAAAGAGUGCCCUCUGUUGGUAUAAUCUAUUUGUCGUUGGCUGCCUUGCCUUGGCAAUUGCUUCCUUAUCAUUUCAUUAAAUAAAUUGGUGGAGAAAUGCAAAAGGUAUUGUUGUUGGGAUAAAUUAAUUUCACCCAGUGUUUCUAUAGCCUUCAUAAACAGUCCUCAUCCUUACUUGGCCAUAGUUUCUGAAUCUUCUGGGCCUGCCUUUCUUUGGGAUUUACACUUAAGCUUUUACUAAUUCAUGGGGGGGAAAAAAGGGCUGCAAUUCAAGGCUUGGAGGGAGUAUUGAUAAAAUUCAUUG